AUUUCACACUGCCUUUAAAUAUCAGUCUCUUGCUUUGUUGAGCGCUGCAAAGUGUUUCCCGUCUUCGAGCUGUCCAUAGCGGUUCCACUCGUAUGGAUUCUUCAUUCAUCACUCCAAGCAACAUUUUGCCUUGAACCAGGAAGUGAAACCAUCCACAGCGUUUCUGCUCGACAGGAUUCUUCUUCAUCACUCCGAGCAUUU